rnacentral:rRNA from 1 species
GACGAACGCUGGCGGCGUGCCUAAUACAUGCAAGUAGAACGCUGAAGGAGGAGCUUGCUCUUCUGGAUGAGUUGCGAACGGGUGAGUAACGCGUAGGUAACCUGCCUGGUAGCGGGGGAUAACUAUUGGAAACGAUAGCUAAUACCGCAUAACAGUAGAUGUUGCAUGACAUUUGCUUAAAAGGUGCAAUUGCACCACUACCAGAUGGACCUGCGUUGUAUUAGCUAGUUGGUGGGGUAACGGCUCACCAAGGCGACGAUACAUAGCCGACCUGAGAGGGUGAUCGGCCACACUGGGACUGAGACACGGCCCAGACUCCUACGGGAGGCAGCAGUAGGGAAUCUUCGGCAAUGGACGGAAGUCUGACCGAGCAACGCCGCGUGAGGGAAGAAGGUUUUCGGAUCGUAAAGCUCUGUUGUAAGAGAAGAACGAGUGUGAGAGUGGAAAGUUCACACUGUGACGGUAUCUUACCAGAAAGGGACGGCUAACUACGUG